rnacentral:rRNA from 1 species
GCAAGCCGAGCGGGAUUUGAGACUAUCUUGCUAGUCUUAAUGAGAGCGGCGUACGGGUGCGGAACACGUGUGCAACCUGCCUUUAUCUGGGAGAUAGCCUUUCGAAAGGAAGAUUAAUAUCCCAUAAUAUAAUGAUUGGCAUCAAUUAUUAUUGAAAGCUCCGGCGGAUAGAGAUGGGCACGCGCAAGAUUAGAUAGUUGGUGAGGUAACGGCUCACCAAGUCGAUGAUCUUUAGGGGGCCUGAGAGGGUGAUC